rnacentral:rRNA from 1 species
CCUACGGGGGACAGCAGUGAGGAAUAUUGGUCAAUGGCCGGAAGGCUGAACCAGCCAUGCCGCGUGAAGGUCAGUGCCCUAUGGGCGUUAAACUUCUUUUGUGCGGGAGCAAUAAUGGUCACGUGUGGCCAGACGAGAGUACCGUACGAAUAAGCAUCGGCUAACUCCGUGCCAGCAGCCGCGGUAAUACGGGGGAUGCAAGCGUUAUCCGGAUUUAUUGGGUUUAAAGGGUGCGUAGGCUGUGAGGUAAGUCAGCGGUGAAAUGCCCCCGCUCAACGGGGUGAAGUGCCAUUGAUACUGCCUGGCUGGAAUGCGGAGGCGGUAGGAGGAAUGUGUGGUGUAGCGGUGAAAUGCAUAGAGAUCACACAGAACACCGAUUGCGAAGGCAUCUCACGAAUCCGCGAUUGACGCUGAUGCACGAAAGCGUGGGUAUCAAACAGGAUUAGAUACCCCAGUAGUC